rnacentral:lncRNA from 14 species
GUUGAAGCAUCAUCUCUGUCACAGUCUCUCAUCUCUCCAUUGCCAGGGAAGAAGUAACACGAAUGAUUAAUGCAGAGAGCUUCUCUCUCCCAGGGACUUAACAGGCAUCUGCACUUUCCCUCCUGAGAUGAUCAACCCAGUUCCUACUUGACCAGAGCAGCCAGUCUGAACUUGUGUCUUCAUCUUACAAUUGAGUCCGUAUGGCUGCUGGAACCCAUUGCACAGGCCUAGAUGAAGGAUCAAGAAAGAGCUAGUUUUCAUCCUGGGAAUGGUAGAAUGAAUCCUUACUUUUCAACUUUUUCUUUUGUACCAGUCCAGGACAAAUUGUAGAACUCCACAUUCAAAGGUAAUGGUGAAGAACUAAAAAUAUU